UACGUAGGGCGCAAGCGUUAUCCGGAAUUAUUGGGCGUAAAGAGCGUGUAGGCGGUUUGGUAGGUCCGUUGUGAAAACUCGAGGCUCAACCUCGAGACGCCGAUGGAAACCAUCAGACUAGAGUCCGGAAGAGGAGAGUGGAAUUCCUGGUGUAGCGGUGAAAUGCGCAGAUAUCAGGAAGAACACCCGUGGCUAAGGCGGCUCUCUAGUACGGUACUGACGCUGAGACGCGAAAGCGUGGGGAGCGAACAGG
rnacentral:rRNA from 1 species